rnacentral:rRNA from 1 species
GAUGAACGCUGGCGGCGUGCCUAAUACAUGCAAGUCGAGCGAACGGACGAGGAGCUUGCUCCUCUGACGUUAGCGGCGGACGGGUGAGUAACACGUGGAUAACCUACCUAUAAGACUGGGAUAACUUCGGGAAACCGUAGCUAAUACCGGAUAAUAUAUUGAACCGCAUGGUUCAAUAGUGAAAGACGGUUUUGCUGUCACUUAUAGAUGGAUCCGCGCUGCAUUAGCUAGUUGGUAAGGUAACGGCUUACCAAGGCAACGAUGCAUAGCCGACCUGAGAGGGUGAUCGGCCACACUGGAACUGAGACACGGUCCAGACUCCUACGGGAGGCAGCAGUAGGGAAUCUUCCGCAAUGGGCGAAAGCCUGACGGAGCAACGCCGCGUGAGUGAUGAAGGUCUUCGGAUCGUAAAACUCUGUUAUUAGGGAAGAACAAAUGUGUAAGUAACUAUGCACGUCUUGACGGUACCUAAUCAGAAAGCCACGGCUAACUACGUG